UGAAUACGAGAUGCUACGGCGUCGAAGCAGUCUAUGUCAUACUUCCAAGAAAAGCUUGCACUGUCAUAAACAAAUAAUGCCUGUACCAUAACCGACACAGGUGGGUAGGUAGAGUAUACUAAGGGGCGCGAGAUAACUCUCUCUAAGGAACUCGGCAAAAUGACUCCGUAACUUCGGGAGAAGGAGUGCCUUAUUUAUAAGGUUGCAAUAACAAGAUCCAAGCAACUGUUUACCAAAAACACAGGUCUCCGCUAAGUCGUAAGACGAUGUAUGGGGGCUGACGCCUGCCCAGUGCCAGAAGGUUAAAGAAGUUGGUUAGCAUCCGCGAAGCUGAUAACUGAAGCCCUGGUGAACGGCGGCCGUAACUAUAACGGUCCUAAGGUAGCGAAAUUCCUUGUCGGGUAAGUUCCGACCCGCACGAAAGGCGUAAUGAUUUGGAUACUGUCUCGGAGAGGGGCUCGGUGAAAUAGACUUGUCUGUGAAGAUGCGGACUACCUGCACCAGGACAGAAAGACCCUAUGAAGCUUUACUGUAACCUGAAAUUGAAAUUGGACUUUACUUGCGCAGUAUAGGUGGGAGGCGUUGAGAAUAUUCUUGCGGGAUUAUUGGAGCCAUCAGUGAGAUACCACUCUUGUAAUGUUAGAUUUCUAACUUUGUAUCAUUAUCUGGUCAAAGAACAGUUUCAGGCGGGCAGUUUGACUGGGGCGGUCGCCUCCUAAACGGUAACGGAGGCGCACAAAGGUUUCCUCUGAACGGGUAGAAAUCGUAUCUAGAGUGUAAAGGCAUAAGGAAGCUUGACUGUGAGACCUACAAGUCGAGCAGGGACGAAAGUCGGUCUUAGUGAUCUGACGGUGCUGAGUGGAAAGGCCGUCACUCAACGGAUAAAAGUUACUCUAAGGAUAACAGGCUGAUCUCCCCCAAGAGUUCACAUCGACGGGGAGGUUUGGCACCUCGAUGUCGGCUCAUCGCAUCCUGGGGCGGUAGUACGUCCCAAGGGUUGGGCUGUUCGCCCAUGAAAGCGGUACGCGAGCUGGGUUCAGAACGUCGUGAGACAGUUCGGUCCAUAUCCGGUGUAGGCGUUAGAAUAUUGAGAGGAGCCUUCUUUAGUACGAGAGGACCGAGAAGGACAUACCUCUGGUGUACCAGUUAUCGUGCCAACGGUAAACGCUGGGUAGCUAUGUGUGGAGUGGACAACCGCUGAAAGCAUCUAAGUGGGAAGCCCACCUCAAGAUAAG
rnacentral:rRNA from 1 species